rnacentral:rRNA from 1 species
UACAGAGGGGGCAAGCGUUGUCCGGAAUCACUGGGCGUAAAGGGCGCGUAGGCGGCUUUUCAAGCGUGCGGUGAAAGCUCGGGGCUUAACUCCGAGUCUGCCGUGCGAACUGGGAGGCUUGAGUCUGGUAGAGGUCGAUGGAAUUCCGGGUGUAGCGGUGGAAUGCGUAGAGAUCCGGAAGAACACCGGUGGCGAAGGCGGUCGACUGGGCCAGUACUGACGCUGAGGCGCGACAGCGUGGGGAGCAAACAGG